rnacentral:rRNA from 1 species
UACGUACCGUCCAAACGUUUAUUCGGAAUUACUGGGCUUAAAGGGUACGUAGGCGGCGCUGUCAGUCGGGUGUGAAAUCCCUCGGCCCAACCGAGGAACUGCGCCCGAUACUGCAGUGCUUGAGGGAGACAGAGGUAAGCGGAACUGAUGGUGGAGCGGUGAAAUGCGUUGAUAUCAUCAGGAACACCAGUGGCGAAAGCGGCUUACUGGGUCUCUUCUGACGCUGAGGUACGAAAGCUAGGGGAGCGAAGGGG